UUCCGCAGCAGCCGCAACAGCCACCACACCAGACACCACCUCAGCAGCAGCAUACUCCUUCAGGCCACACGGAGAUAUUGACGCCUAUCUCUUCCUUCGCACGGGGGCACACUCAGUUGGAUCCUACAGAGGAGAUUGACUUUGAUACUCAUAUGCAGGACGGUGGACUGGGUGAUUGACUUUGAUUAUGUUAUGCUUUUGUACUUUUGGUUUUUCUUUGUGUAUUCUUCUUUUUGGUUUAUUCAGUUUUUUUAUUUUCUUUUGCCUUGAUGUAAUCACCUAUUAUGGGUUGUCUUA
rnacentral:lncRNA from 1 species